rnacentral:lncRNA from 1 species
GUGGAAUACUAGACAGAGUGGACAGUUACAUGUUUACUGGUGCACUUGCAUACUCCUUCAUCAAAACCUUCUUGAGACUUUAUGGAGUAUGAUGAGAUAUAUGGCCAACACCAAAAUGAGAUUUACCAGUGGGAAGAAUGGCUUCUCCUGUGGGUGGACGGACAAGUACUUCCUGAUUAUGGUUUGACAAAAACAAAGCGUGAAAUGGUGUAAGGAGUAAGUCCAUUUACUUAAAAGGAAUCUCAAAGGAAGGAGUAGAGACUGCACUUACAAGGUUACCAGGUCAAUCAAUAGUAGUUUGACCAAAUUCAUUGUUAUAACUUUCUAGAUUAGAAAUUUCAAUGAGAUCGGUUGUAGAAUGCCUUGUUCAUUUGGCGAGAGGAGCAGGUGAGGUAAAUCAGGUUCCUUUUGAUAACCAGAGGAGUCAUUGUUGGCUGCUAUUGUUGUAGUCUUUCCCAUGAGGCUGAUCCGCUGAUGGUGUCUUCCAAGUGUGCGUGUUCAGGAGAAAUAUACUGGAAUAAAUAUUUAAGAAGAUCAGUGAUGAUUUCAAAGUGUUAAUUCAUUACAAAUUUACUUGCUAUAAAUGUUUAAGAAGAUGAAUAAUUUUAAUUGCCGAAUCCAGUGAUUCUGAAAUACAGAAAUGAAUUUUCUCUUCUCUUUGCCAUGAAUUUGGUUGGCAUUAAUUAGUAGUUAGAAACUUUUCCAGGGAAUUUCCAUGAUAAUCAGAGAAAUAUUAAAUAUCUUAUUUUUAUGGUUGGUUGGUUUGAAGGAAGUGAAUUAAAUAAUAAUAUUAUUAUUAUGGUUGAUUAAUUGUAUUGAUUGGAGUGGUUUUUGAUGAUCAUAACCAUAGUCAGUCUGCACUAAUAUUAUUAUUUAUGAUAUUGCGUUUGGUAAGUAGUGUGUGAUAAUAAUAAUCUGGGUGGGUAAGAAAUGACUAGGAGAUGUCAUUAAUGCCGUUGAAAUCCAAACAGUUGCAGCUGGGAGUUGAUAUCCGAAAGCAAAAAGCUGCAUGCAUGAUUAGGCCGGUGGGGUAAACCAGACACUUUAUUUUUGUGUUAAAACUCUUAUCUUCUCAAUUUUAUCAUUAUGUCUCUCUCGGCUUCCCAUGUUGACCAAGGUCAGCUGUGGCUGGACAAGUCAGCAUUAAAGAAUUUUUGCUUUGGACAAUCAGGUAAAGCCCUUGGGCAUAAUCAUAAAUGCCGAAUAUAUAUAUAUAUAUAUAUAUAUAUAAAUAUAAUUUUCAUCACGUUUGGUUCGUUGUCUAAUUCAGUGUAUUAGAUAUAAAUAUGUUAUUUUUCAGGGGAAGGAUGAUGACAAAAAAUCCAGUGGAGCUGAGGAGAAAUUUGAAAAGAAAAGAAAAGAAAAGAAGGGCAAUAUGAAGUCAUUAUUAAUUUGUCAACGUUUUGUGAGGGCUGUGAUAGAGUAGUCCAAGCAAGGUCACCUCUUAUCCCAUUACCGAAAGGACUAAAUAAUUCAAAAAUUGCUCCACAAAACCACCACCAAAAGACAUGGUCCAGGUGACACAGGUUUGCCAUUUUCGUUUUCACGUGGACAUGUUCUAUUUAACUCCCAUCUUACCUUUAAUCUAUUAGUAAUUUUGAUUAAUUACAAUAACAAUAAAUACCCUUUAAAUUAUUAAUUUAUGGACACCAAUAAUAACAUCACAUAACAGUUUUUAAAUAAAAAUACAUAGAAUUUUUUAUAUAAAAAAAAAAUGGCACUAAGAAUUAAAUUAAAUAAUUAUUGAUAGAUGUGUAAGUAACUAUUUCUUAAAUAAAUUGAGAAUCUGACUUCUCAAUCUAUGUAAAAAUAUAAUAAUUUUAAGUGAUAUUAAUGUUCCAUCCUUUUGCAUUAAAAUAAAAGGUAAGAACAUACAACAGUCCAAAAUAGACAAAUAUAAUCAUGUGUGUGUGUAUGAUUUCAAAUAAUAAUUUCAAUUGGAAACUUAUUUAUGCAAUGAAAUCUAUGAGAUAAUAGAAAGGGGAAAGAAACAUAAGAAAGAAAGAAAAAGAAAUAAAUGUGUUGGGUUGAUGAGAGAUCAAAAAGAGAAAAAAGAAAGGACCAAAUGUGAUGUGUUGUUAUUGGAGGUCCAAGCUCAAGUGGCUUACUUUUGGUUUUUCCUUUUUUCUUAAAAAAAUAAAUAAAUAAAAUGCGUGGGAUAGAAAGAAGGCGUUGUUUGUAAGCUGACUAAAGAAAAAUGAAAACAAACAACACUCAAGGAAGCUUAAAGAAGAUACGGUGGACAGGCAUCUGUAAAAGUUGUUUAAUGAACAUUUCUUGCACACGCACACACCUCUACCACACCCCUCUCAAUCUCCUUUUUUCCUUUUCUUUUUCAUCUUAUAUUUCUUUCUACUUUUUUUUUUUUUUUUUUUAUAAAAAAAAUAUUUAUCUAUAUAUCUUAUAUAUAUAUAUAUAUAUAUAUCUUCCAUUCAUGGCUUGCAUCUUACUAAUGAUUUUAAUUAAUGAGCUGGAUCACUUAAAAGUCAUGUUGGAUUUGCAACAAGUUAAUUCCCAAGUCCAACAAGGGUAUUUAAUUAGGGCAGCUGCUAAUAUCCAUAUAUAUAUAUAUAUAUAUGUUUAUACUGUAAUUUUGUGAGACAUGCAAUUGGAAUGAAGAUUUGAGAUAAGUACAUGCAUAUUAUAAUCUUGAGAAUAUCUUAUGAUGAAUCUAGAUUUAUAUUCUUUUUAAAAUUAUUUCUGUGUAUUAGUUUGGUUGUUUUAUUUUUUAAUUUAUUAUUUGUUCUAUUAUAUAAAAGGACUUAUCAGAUUGCUUCAUUACUAAAAAAAUAUCAAUUUUCCAAGAUAUGAUGGUAUCUCUAGAUAUUUCUAUUUUUUAUUCUAUAUUUUUUCUAGCAGUUUUGGGAAGCCAAGUUUUAGGAAUGUGAUCUUGGGUAAGUAGGUGCAUAUAUAUGAUCAAGUGCCUUUCAAAGAAUUAUCCACCCAAAAGAUGCAGAUCAACUAUAUCUAUAUAUCUAUACAUAUAUGGUUAUUGUAUCAAAUGCUUCAACAAAGAGGCGCAUAUAUAAACUUUACACAAUUAAAAGAAUAUAAUUCUUGGUAUCGACCUUAUAACUAGGGAUCAAUUGGAUCAUAUCGUAUAUAUAUAUAUAUAUAUUGCAUUAUUGAAGAUGCAUCAAUUGCAGUAAAUAAUUCAAGAAACUUAAGAACAAAAAGGUUUAAACAUUAGUUUAUGUUCUUAAUCGAACACUUAUAAUAUUCUUUUUCUACAAAUUACCAUUAGUGCAUUAUAUGGUCCUCCAUUGUUCCUGUGCUUUUCCCAAAAACCUAUAGAAGAGAAGAGAUGCAUACAGUGUGUGUGUGUGUGUGGAUGUGUAUGCUGUGAGUUUAUUUGUUUGAAUUAGGGUUUAUAAUUAGUUAGUGACCCACGCACAGAAUUAUUUAGCUUUCGAGAAGACAAAAAGCUGUCAAAUACAUAUAUGUAUAUACAUAUGUGUGUUUGUAUAGCUGAAUCCUCAGUCCUAGGAGGCUUGUUGAAGACAAAAGUGGUUACCUCAAAUUCCUUAAUGAAAAGUUGUGUAUGAUUAUACUUUCCUGCCCCAUUUUUUUAGACCUUGGAGGAAAAGCU